rnacentral:lncRNA from 1 species
CAAUUGGGAUGACGUCUAGCUCAUUUUUACCUCUAAUCAGAUACUGAAUCAUUUUUUCUGUGUAAUUCCCAAAAUCCACUAUCUCAUCAUCAGUUACUGGAUUGCUAUCUAGAGUUGGCAGAUGUUUAAAUGGUGCUACCACAUAGCAAGGUUUAAGAAAUGGUGCUACCACAUAGCAAGGUUUAAGAGCAACGUCUGCUGACCACAUCUCAGUCACCUUCGCAUUAAUUUGUUUGAUCUCUUUUAAUAUUGCAGGAAGUGAGCAAAAAAUAUGCCAAAAAACAUUAUAGUGAGCAAGAAUAGAGCCAAUGGCAACUUCAGCUUCAUAUGCCAAAUUGAUAGUACGCCUGUGAAGAUCUUAAAGAAUUUCAUGUUCAUGGUGCACCUUGGCGACAUCUCUGAAAAUGGAUGAUAAAGAUGACAGAUCCUUCUCUAAAAUGGAUGCAAGAGCUGAUAGCUCUUUCUCCAAAUUCUCCAAAAGAGGU